UGAUGCCGCUUUGUACUAAGAGAAGAAUAAGAAGCUGGUGUUUUUCAAGGGUACAGGGUAUUGGCAGUGGGAUGAGCUGCGCUCCAGUAACCUCAACGUGUACCUCAAACCCUUGUCUAACCUCUUCAAUGGGGUGCCCUCCAGCCCUGAUGCUGCCUUUACCUGGACCAAUGGAAAAAUCUACUUCUUCAAGAGAGACAAGUACUGGCGUGUGAACAGUCUACUGAGCGUAGACAAAGGCUAUCCACUCAGCAAGAGUGAACGCUGGAUGCACUGUUAGGAGCAAGACACUAGGGGGAAGCAGACACCAUAAGCCUUGAUAGGGUGCUUGUGUGAUGUCUGCUCAAUUAACAGUUCAGGGAACCACAACAGCAACCACAACCACACUGUGAUAACAUUGUGUUCACACUGUGAGGUGUCUGGAAACCAUAUAAACAUAUCGCCAUGUACUGGUACAUGAUUUCAAGUGAGGAUUGAGUUAGGUACAGUCAAAGUACAUAAAACUGAAAUGUUAUAUCAAAUUAAUUAUUCUUGAAACACAAUAACUUUUAUCAGGUUGCGUAUUGAGUGUCGUCCCACAUAAGUAAAAUGUUCUUCUAGUUCUGGAGCAGUAACCUGCUGGGUUUGUUCAUAUCCUUAUGGCCUAGCUCUCUGUUUCCAUCAAACACAAGCAGGACCUCCAGCUGUAUUCAUCUGCUCUUUUCUUCCAACAGCCCAAACGUGUUAGGCUUAGAUCAGACUGUGUGUGUGGAGAGGCUAUUUGUUAUGAUCUUAGGGGGCAUUCCAGGGGGGCCAUUUUCUCCCUCACCACAGAUGUGGAUUGGAUUAUUCAGUUGUUGUGUGUCCUCUUUUCAGUAUGUGUACUGAUUUCAACGGUGUUCCAGUUAGAAACUUCUCGUUUUCUUUUGACGUUUCACUUGCAGAUACUGUGGACGGGUCUGAAAAAGUAUUUGUGAGUUUAUUGUCGUCAUGUUAUGCAUUUCUAGGACUAUGGUGUGUAUAUUUUAUCACUGCCCACAAAGAGAAGCAUGAUAUUAUUGGUGUUCAGACACCAGCUUUCA